AGGAGAGCUAACAGGAUUCCCCUAGUAACGGCGAGUGAAGCGGGAUGAGCUCAAAUUUGAAAUCUGGCUGGUUUACUAGUCCGAGUUGUAAUUUAAAGAAGCGUUUUCGGUGGCAGCCUGGGUAUAAAUCCUUUGGAAUAGGGUAUCAUAGAGGGUGAGAAUCCCGUCUUUGACCUAGUGCAUGCUACUAUGUGAUACGUUUUCAAAGAGUCGAGUUGUUUGGGAAUGCAGCUCAAAAUGGGUGGUAAAUUUCAUCUAAAGCUAAAUAUUGGCGAGAGACCGAUAGCGAACAAGUACCGUGAGGGAAAGAUGAAAAGAACUUUGAAAAGAGAGUUAAACAGUGCGUGAAAUUGUUGAAAGGGAAACGUUUGACACCAGUCAUGUGGGUGGAAAAUCAGUCUUUUGCAUUGGGGAGUUGUAAGGGUUCGGACCGCAAGGCCGGCUUUUGCUUCAUCUUUGGUGUAAGUGAUGCACUUUUUCAUCUACAGGUCAACAUCAGUUUCUUUUGCUGGACAAAACUCCGAGAGAAGGUAGCAGCUUAGGCUGUGUUAUAGCUCUGGAGCGAUACAGUGAAGGGGACUGAGGUUUUCGCAGCGUGUGCUCUCGGGCAAGGCUGGAUGGGUGCUAUGGGAUCGUUCGGGGUACAAUGCCUGGCAUUUUGCUUCGUGUCUUUUCUAUACUCGCUCAACUCAGCUCUUCCACGCUUAGGAUGUUGACUUAAUGGUUUUAAACGACCCGUCUUGAAACACGGACCAAGGAGUCUAACAUAUAUGCAAGUGUUUGGGUGGCAAACCCAUGCGCGUAAUGAAAGUGAACGUAGGUGCGAUCCGCAAGGUGCAGCAUCGACCGAUCUUGAUAUUUUUGGAUAGAUUUGAGUAAGAGCAUAUAUGCUGGGACCCGAAAGAUGGUGAACUAUGCCUGAAUAGGGUGAAGCCAGAGGAAACUCUGGUGGAGGCUCGUAGCGAUUCUGACGUGCAAAUCGAUCGUCAAAUUUGGGUAUAGGGGCGAAAGAUAAUCGACCUCUGUCCC
rnacentral:rRNA from 1 species